UACAGAGGGGGCAAGCGUUAUUCGGAAUUAUUGGGCGUAAAGGGCGCGUAGGCGGCUUUGCAAGUGACGGGUGAAAGCCCUCGGCUUUACCGAGGAACUGCCUGUCAGACUGUGAGGCUUGAGACCGGGAGAGGUGAGUGGAAUUCCCAGUGUAGCGGUGAAAUGCGUAGAUAUUGGGAGGAACACCAGUGGCGAAGGCGGCUCACUGGACCGGAACUGACGCUGAGGCGCGAAAGCGUGGGGAGCAAACAGG
rnacentral:rRNA from 1 species